rnacentral:sRNA from 1 species
UUAAGCGUGAUCAAGAUGACAACCUCCCAAAAACACCGAGACUUCGUGGCAGAGCCCAUGGGGGAGAAGCCAGUGGGGAGCCUGGCUGGGAUUGGCCUAUGUUGUCCUUGGCCAGUUUCUGGUGCUAAAGAAAGAUGAAGACCUCUUCCGGGAAUGGCUGAAGGACACUUGUGGCGCCAACGCCAAGCAGUCCCGGGACUGCUUCGGAUGCCUUCGAGAGUGGUGCGACGCCUUUUUGUGAUGCUCUGUGGGAAGCUCUCAAUCCCCAGCCCUCAUCCAGAGUUUGCAGCCGAGUAGGGACUCCUCCCCUGUCCUCUACGAAGGAAAAGAUUGCUAUUGUCGUACUCACCUCCGACGUACUC